CGCUCUGGCGCGGGGUUCAAGGUGUGUGCGGCGAGGCCUCGGGGAGGGGCGGCUGGGCGGGAGGAGAGUCUGGAGUUUGCACGGGAAUCCUCCGCAGCCUAGGACGCCGAGCCGGCCCGGGGCCCGCGCGGAGGAAGGAGCGGCAGCCGGUGCACUCGACGGUCGCAGAGAGCGGAAGGGAUGGGCUCUGCUUCACAGCCAGGAAAGAAAGAUGGGGGUACAACUACCCCACAUCUUCCUUUGGCCCGGGGCUCCCAGCUUUCACGAGGCUUCCCUCCAGACCUUUCAUUGUCCUCUGAACAACCGCGGGGGAUCAUCACCGCUAUUUGUCUAGGGAGGAAGGAGGCCAGAGGAGGCUGGAAGACUGGCCCGAGGCCACACACUCCUAAUUAGUGGGCAGAGCCUAGUCGAGAAGCCACCUCUCCGUUUGCACUUUCCACAAAGUGCAAAACACGGUGGUGAGAGACGGACACAGAAAUCACGGAGAUUUGGCCCCAGCCCUGGAGGCAUUGAGAAUCCCGUGUGGACUGCUGUUGUUCAGAGCAGAAGGCAAGGUGGGCUGAAUUAGUUCUAGGAGAGCAGCACAGUGUCGGGCACAGAGGAAUAAAUACCCCGUAUGGCAAGGUAGUCUUAGAGAAGGCUUCUCACAGAAGGUGGACAAACCUUUGAAUAAAUUCUUAAGAGGCGGGGCAGGGGGAGGGCAGGGUAAGCAUUAGAUGCAUGGAAUAGCCAGAGCAAAGGUCUAGAGGAUGGCAGUACUUGAUGUGCUCCAGAAAAGAGAGCUGCCUGGCAUUGCUGGGGCCCAGAAUGCUGGAAAGGGCUUGGAGGGGCUUGACUUGGGCAGGCUGAGCCCUGGAAUGCCAGGGGCAGAGCUGGCAGGGAGCUUACUUCUUGCUGUUGCUGUUGGACACUGGCUCUCACGGAGGGUCCUGGCCCACAUAAGGUCCCUGACUCUAAAUGAAGCUGCCUCAGGAAUCAGGCAAAGGUGAGGUCACUGCGCAUGCCUUCCCCAACCACCCCCAUCUGCACCACUUAUUUUUUCCCUGUUUCUCCAGCAUGAAGGACUGACCCAUGCAUGUAAUAGACCCUCAUUAUGUUGCUAUUGGAAUGAAAUAAAAUGAAGGAAGGAAAAGCCUAAUGAGUUUUUGCUGCAGAAAGAUCAUCAUUGGCACUGCAGUACCCUCCUCCUCACUCAGAACGUGAACCUCGAGGAAACGUAGACACGUCUAAAAAUGACUCCACCAAGAAUACGACCCUGGAAAAGGAGUGUACAAAGAGGGUCUCACAAAGUAGCAGAGAAUCCGAGGCCUGAGUGUGGAGAUGCCACUGGCCCUGGAGCUGUGGGUCAGCCUUGCCCUCCUGGGUGUCUCUUGCCUGGGGAGUUUAAUUAGACUGCAGUAGGGGCAGGAUUCACUCCCAUAGAUGGAGAAAACCACUGUUAAGCCAUAGCCUGGUUUCCACCGGAAUCAUGGAGCUGAUCCAGUGGCCAUGUCCUCCAUGAGAAGCGAGAAAAACCUUGCUGCUUAAGAGUUGGGCCCCACAGGCAUUUCCAAACAUCAAGAAAAAGUAUGGGAACUGCCUUCUUGGAGUCCCCACUUCCACACAGGCUCUCAGGCCAGCAAAGUGGAAAGACUUGGGGAAUGGCCCUCUGUUGCCACUGGCUGCUUCCCUCAGCCAGGCCUGGCCUACGCAUAUCUAGUUGCCUCUGGUCUUGGGAAAACCAGGUGAGAGGAUGUGGGAUCCAAAGACAUUACAUCAACUCCUAGUGAGAAGCUCCAAACUCACCCCUAGGCAUUGGGGGUGGUGGUGGUGGUGGAGCUGGAAACCAAAAUCAGACUGAUGGGUUUUCCAAUGGUUCUAGAAGGAGGAGGACUGUGUGAAGAGAGGGAGGGAAGCAGAAGCUGGAAUUUGGCAGGAUUUCUGCAUGGCUCUUCUCUUCCUCCUCAGGGGAAUGGAACCGUAGAAUCAUAGAAUCAAAGCGACGCCUAAGAAACUUGGUGUUGCCCAGCAUCCAUUAACAAGAGUGGUGAUAAUCGCUGUAGUUCACUGGGUACCCAGCAGGUGCCAGCUGCUGAGCUGGCUCCUCACAUAUGUGAUCUCUGAAGCGCCACAGCCUGCAGACCCGGACUUGGGAAAACUCUUAUACAGCAGGGGCAUUGACAGCACUUAACUUGCUGCACUGUUGGGAGAGACAGGAAAUAAAGUACGGAAAGUCCAGUGCUGGUCACCACUCCAGGCACCCACCUCACCCCGCCCCUCUCACAGGCACUGCUGCUGGCUGCUGGCACCAGGGGCUCUCGAAAGGCCUGGCCAGGGUGCACGCAGGGGACGGCUCACCAGGGCUGUGAAGGAGAAAAGACCCCAGACAGGCCCAACAAGGAUGACCGUCCUGCCCCAGAAGUGCGUGGCUGCCUCCCUCUUUAGAGCCUGUGCUGAGCAGCCCCGAGGGGGCAGGGGAGACGCAGAGUACGGGCCCUGGCUGCUGCUGGGUGUCCGUUCUUGUCAGCAUACCCAUUACCCUUGAGACUCCAUCAACUCGGAAGCCUCUUGCCCUGUUUGCAGCUGCAGCCGGGACGGAUAGUGAGGGAGGGGGAUUCGUUAGACCGCCGUGUCUGCCCUCAGCAGAAGAGGAGGCAGACAUGGUGAAUAGAAUGUGUGUUACCGUGCAACAGGCACUGUGCCGAAGCAAGAUCUCAGAAUACUCACGAUGACCCGGUGACCGAGGUGGGACCCUCUCCAUUUCACAGACGAAGAGACUGGUGCCCGUAAGAGGUCACCCAGCCAUCAUAGGAUCACCACUGUCAGCUGGCCACACUUAAGGCACCAUUGUACCUAAGUGAAUGUUAUUUCUAAGUUUCUAUAAACCAUCAAGGAGAGCACCUGGCUCUUUGAAAGAAACUCCAAGAAUCUUCUGAUCAGUCAUCGUCCCCCCCCCCCCUUUUUAAAAGAUUUUAUUUAUUCAUGAGAGACACAGAGAGAGGGGUAGAGGGAGAAACAGGCUCCCUGUGGUGAGCCUGAUGCAGAACUUGAUCCCAGGACUCCAGGAUCACAAUCUGAGCUGAAGGCAGAAGCUCAACCACUCAGCCACCCAGGCAUCCCAGUCAUCGUUCUCCCAUUUGGCUUUUCAUAUCGAUUUCUGCCACUGGAAUGUAAGCUCCAUGAGGGCAGGAGUUCUUGUGUGUUUUCUUCACCACUGUCUCCCCAGCACUUAGAACAGCACUUGGCAUAUAGCCGCACACAGUACAUGCUUGUUAAGUACUUAUUGAUGCAAGGAAGGGAGGGAAGAGAAGGAAUGGGCAGCUGUGAGCACCAUCAGUGCAGGACUAGAGCCCAGAGAAAGGGAGUGACUCAUCUGGGGGUCAGUCAGCGUGGGCCAGUGGGGGGAGUAACUCGGUUCCCCAACAGUGCCUCCCCAGGAGCACUGUUCCCCUUCCUGCAACCACGGGACCAGGGGCCAAAUGUUGCUGCCCCACGAUGGUGGGGCAGGGGGUAUGGGGUAUGGAAAGGUCCCCUGUGGUCCCAUCAGAAUUUGGGAGGAGUGACCCUGGUUCUGGUGGAUAACUGCAGGAACUACGUAUUAUUACUGAUCAUAAAAUGAGCCAGCUGUUGCAUUUGG